rnacentral:ncRNA from 1 species
GAACGCCGUGUGAGGUGAAAGUCUCACGCACGGUGUGGAAUGGGGGAAAAACCGGAGAUUGCUUCAAAGGUUUACCUAUCAUUAU